UACGGGGGAUGCAAGCGUUAUCCGGAAUCAUUGGGCGUAAAGCGCCUGUAGGUUGUUUAAUAAGUCUGUUGUUAAAGACUAGGGCUUAACCCUAGAGAAGCAAUGGAAACUACUAAACUAGAGUAUGGCAGGGGUAGAGGGAAUUUCUAGUGUAGCGGUGAAAUGCGUAGAUAUUAGAAAGAACACCGGUGGCGAAAGCGCUCUACUGGACCAUUACUGACACUCAGAGGCGAAAGCUAGGGUAGCAAAAGGGAUUAGAUACCCCUGUAGUCCUAGCCGUAAACGAUGGAUACUAGGUGUUGCGCUUAAAGUGCAGUAUCUUAGCUAACGCGUUAAGUAUCCCGCCUGGGGAGUACGCUCGCAAGGGUG
rnacentral:rRNA from 1 species